rnacentral:rRNA from 1 species
GCACGGCCAUACCACCCUGAAUGCGCCCGAUCUCGUCUGAUCUCGUCUGAUCUGAAGCUAAGCAGGGUCGGGCCUGGUUAGUACUUGGAUGGGAACUCAGUAUUUAAGAGGAAGGUGUAAGUC